UGCAUAUCAAUAAGCGGAGGAAAAGAAACCAACAGGGAUUGCCCUAGUAACGGCGAGUGAAGCGGCAACAGCUCAAAUUUGAAAUCUGGCGUCUUCGGCGUCCGAGUUGUAAUUUGCAGAGGGCGCUUUGGCAUUGGCAGCGGUCCAAGUUCCUUGGAACAGGACGUCACAGAGGGUGAGAAUCCCGUACGUGGUCGCUAGCCUUUACCGUGUAAAGCCCCUUCGACGAGUCGAGUUGUUUGGGAAUGCAGCUCUAAAUGGGAGGUAAAUUUCUUCUAAAGCUAAAUACUGGCCAGAGACCGAUAGCGCACAAGUAGAGUGAUCGAAAGAUGAAAAGCACUUUGGAAAGAGAGUUAAAAAGCACGUGAAAUUGUUGAAAGGGAAGCGCUUGCAGCCAGACUUGCCUGUAGUUGCUCAUCCGGGUUUCUACCCGGUGCACUCUUCUACGGGCAGGCCAGCAUCAGUUUGGGCGGUUGGAUAAAGGUCUCUGUCAUGUACCUCCUUUCGGGGAGAACUUAUAGGGGAGACGACAUGCAACCAGCCCGGACUGAGGUCCGCGCAUCUGCUAGGAUGCUGGCGUAAUGGCUGUAAGCGGCCCGUCUUGAACAACGGG
rnacentral:rRNA from 1 species